rnacentral:misc_RNA from 1 species
UUUCCGUAGGUGAACCUGCGGAAGGAUCAUUAUUGUAUAACCGAGGUGCGAGGGCUGUCGCUGACCCGAAAGGUCGUGCACGCCCGAGUGCCCUCACACAUCCAUCUCACCCCUAUGUGCACCACCGCGUGGGUCCCCCUUUGGCUUGUUCGGAGGGGGGCUUACGUUUUCACACAAACUUUGUAUGCAGUGUAGAAUGUAUUUUUUAUUUUUGCGAUCACGCAACCAAUACAACUUUCAACAACGGAUCUCUUGGCUCUC